AUUGAACGCUGGCGGCAGGCCUAACACAUGCAAGUCGAGCGGAUGAAGGGAGCUUGCUCCUGGAUUCAGCGGCGGACGGGUGAGUAAUGCCUAGGAAUCUGCCUGGUAGUGGGGGAUAACGUCCGGAAACGGGCGCUAAUACCGCAUACGUCCUGAGGGAGAAAGUGGGGGAUCUUCGGACCUCACGCUAUCAGAUGAGCCUAGGUCGGAUUAGCUAGUUGGUGGGGUAAAGGCCUACCAAGGCGACGAUCCGUAACUGGUCUGAGAGGAUGAUCAGUCACACUGGAACUGAGACACGGUCCAGACUCCUACGAGAGGCAGGAGUGGGGAAUAUUGGACAAGGGGCGAAAGCCUGAUCCAGCCAUGCCGCGUGUGUGAAGAAGGUCUUCGGAUGGUAAAGCACUUUAAGUUGGGAGGAAGGGCAGUAAGUUAAUACCUUGCUGUUUUGACGUUACCAACAGAAUAAGCACCGGCUAACUUCGUG
rnacentral:rRNA from 1 species